rnacentral:rRNA from 1 species
UGGGGAAUUUUGGACAAUGGGCGAAAGCCUGAUCCAGCCAUGCCGCGUGCGGGAAGAAGGCCUUCGGGUUGUAAACCGCUUUUGUCAGGGAAGAAAUCUUCCGAGCUAAUACUUCGGAGGGAUGACGGUACCUGAAGAAUAAGCACCGGCUAACUACGUGCCAGCAGCCGCGGUAAUACGUAGGGUGCAAGCGUUAAUCGGAAUUACUGGGCGUAAAGCGUGCGCAGGCGGUUAUGCAAGACAGAUGUGAAAUCCCCGGGCUUAACCUGGGAACUGCAUUUGUGACUGCAUAGCUGGAGUACGGCAGAGGGGGAUGGAAUUCCGCGUGUAGCAGUGAAAUGCGUAGAUAUGCGGAGGAACACCGAUGGCGAAGGCAGUCCCCUGGGCCUGUACUGACGCUCAUGCACGAAAGCGUGGGGAGCAAACAGGAUUAGAUACCCCCGUAGUCC